GGUCAGGACGAACGCUGGCGGCGUGCCUAACACAUGCAAGUCGAGCGAGGAGAUUCCUUCGGGAUGAUCCUAGCGGCGGACGGGUGAGUAACACGUGGGCAACCUGCCUCAUAGAGAGGAAUAGCCUUCCGAAAGGGAGAUUAAUACCUCAUAACAUUGCAGUUUCGCAUGGAACAGCAAUUAAAGGAGUAAUCCGCUAUGAGAUGGGCCCGCGGCGCAUUAGCUAGUUGGUGAGGUAAUGGCUCACCAAGGCGACGAUGCGUAGCCGACCUGAGAGGGUGAUCGGCCACAUUGGGACUGAGACACGGCCCAGACUCCUACGGGAGGCAGCAGUGGGGAAUAUUGCACAAUGGGGGAAACCCUGAUGCAAGCAACGCCGCGUGAGUGAUGACGGCCUUCGGGUUGUAAAGCUCUGUCUUCAGGGACGAUAAUGACGGUACCUGAGGAGGAAGCCACGGCUAACUACGUGCCAGCCGCUGC
rnacentral:rRNA from 1 species